AAAGCGUGCGCAGGCGGUUAUAUAAGACAGAUGUGAAAUCCCCGGGCUCAACCUGGGAACUGCAUUUGUGACUGUAUAGCUGGAGUGCGGCAGAGGGGGAUGGAAUUCCGCGUGUAGCAGUGAAAUGCGUAGAUAUGCGGAGGAACACCGAUGGCGAAGGCAAUCCCCUGGGCCUGCACUGACGCUCAUGCACGAAAGCGUGGGGAGCAAACAGGAUUAGAUACCCGAGU
rnacentral:rRNA from 1 species